CACGUAGGGGGCAAGCGUUGUCCGGAUUUAUUGGGCGUAAAGAGCUCGUAGGCGGUUUCGUAAGUCGGAUGUGAAAACUCCAGGCUCAACUUGGAGACGCCAUUCGAUACUGCGAUGACUUGAGUCCGGUAGGGGAGUGUGGAAUUCCUGGUGUAGCGGUGAAAUGCGCAGAUAUCUGGAGGAACACCGGUGGCGAAGGCGGCAUCCUGGACCAAUUCUGACACUGAGGAGCGAAAGCCAGGGGAGCAAACGGG
rnacentral:rRNA from 1 species